rnacentral:rRNA from 1 species
GCUUACGGUCCAUACCACCCUGAGCCACGCCCAAUCCUCGUCUGAUCUCGGAAGCUAAGCAGGGUCGGGCCUGGUUUAGUACUUGGAUGGGAGACCGCCUGGAAUACCAGGUGCUGUAAGCG